rnacentral:tRNA from 1 species
GCCCAGGUGGUGGAAUUGGUAGACACGCUGGUCUUAGGAACCAGUGGCGAAAGUCGUAAGAGUUCGAGUCUCUUCCUGGGCACCA